UGAGUACGAGCUGCUACGGCAGCGAAGUGGGUGAUGUCAAGCUUCCAAGAAAAGCCCUAUACCCGUUAAGGCAUGAUGGCCUGUACCCGAAACCGACACAGGUGGGGUGGUAGAGAAUACCGAGGGGCGCGAGAUAACUCUCUCUAAGGAACUCGGCAAAAUGGCCCCGUAACUUCGGGAGAAGGGGUGCCACCGCAAGGUGGUCGCAGUGAAGAGGCCCAGGCGACUGUUUACCAAAAACACAGGUCUCCGCUAAGUCGCAAGACGAUGUAUGGGGGCUGACGCCUGCCCAGUGCCGGAAGGUUAAGGAAGCUGGACAGCGUAAGCGAAGCUAGCGACUGAAGCCCCGGUGAACGGCGGCCGUAACUAUAACGGUCCUAAGGUAGCGAAAUUCCUUGUCGGGUAAGUUCCGACCCGCACGAAAGGCGUAACGAUCUGGGCGCUGUCUCGGAGAGAGGCUCGGCGAAAUAGAAUUGUCUGUGAAGAUGCGGACUACGUGCACCCGGACAGAAAGACCCUAUGAAGCUUUACUGUAGCUUGGUAUUGUGCUCGGGCUCGGAAUGCGCAGGAUAGGUGGGAGGCUAUGAACCAUUGCUUGUGGGUGAUGGUGAGCCACUGGUGAGAUACCACUCUUUCCGAGCUAGAGUUCUAACAGCCACCCGUUAUCCGGGGGCUGGACAGUAUCAGGUGGGCAGUUUGACUGGGGCGGCCGCCUCCUAAAAGGUAACGGAGGCGCGCAAAGGUUUGCUCAGGCUGGUUGGAAAUCAGCCGACGAGUGUAAAAGCAGAAGCAAGCUUGACUGUGAGACCUACAAGUCGAACAGGGAGGAAACUCGGCUUUAGUGAUCCGACGGUUCUGCGUGGAAGGGCCGUCGCUCAACGGAUAAAAGUUACUCUAGGAUAACAGGCUGAUCUCCCCCAAGAGUUCACAUCGACGGGGAGGUUUGGCACCUCGAUGUCGGCUCAUCGCAACCUGGGGCUGAAGUCGGUCCCAAGGGUUGGGCUGUUCGCCCAUUAAAGCGGUACGCGAGCUGGGUUCAGAACGUCGUGAGACAGUUCGGUCCAUAUCCGGUGCAUGCGCAGGAAUAUUGAGAGGAUUUCUCCCUAGUACGAGAGGACCGGGAGGAACGCACCUCUGGUGUACCAGUUAUCGUGCCAACGGUAAACGCUGGGUAGCCAUGUGCGGAGAGGAUAACCGCUGAAAGCAUCUAAGUGGGAAGCCCACCUCAAGAUGAGUAUUCCCAUGGGGUAACCCAGUAAGGUCACGGGAAGAACACCCGUUGAUAGGCUCUACGUGGAAGCGCAGUAAUGUGUGAAGCGGAGGAGUACUAAUAGACCGAGGGCUUG
rnacentral:rRNA from 1 species